rnacentral:misc_RNA from 1 species
UCCGAUUUGUCACCGGAUUAGAUACCCUGGUAGUCCACGCCCUAAACGAUGUCAACUAGGUGUUGGGGAAGCGAUUUCUCAGUACCGCAGCUAACGCGUGAAGUUGACCGCCUGGGGAGUACGGUCGCAAGAUUAAAACUCAAAGGAAUUGACGGGGACCCGCACAAGCGGUGGAUGAUGUGGAUUAAUUCGAUGCAACGCGAAUAACCUUACCUACCCUUGACAUGUACGGAAGCCCUCAGAGAUGGGGGUGUGCCCGAAAGGGAGCCGUAACACAGGUGCUGCAUGGCUGUCGUCAGCUCGUGUCGUGAGAUGUUGGGUUAAGUCCCGCAACGAGCGCAACCCUUGUCCCUAGUUGCUACGCAAGGGCACUCUAGGGAGACUGCCGGUGACAAACCGG